AAAACCUUUUAAAGAAAGUCCAGAGAGGCUUGGAAGGGUUAUAACGGGAAGAAGCUGUACCUGCUUCUCUCUUUAACCGCACCCCGAGUCUAUAGACCGGGGUGUUUUUUAC
rfam:Bacillus amyloliquefaciens FZB42, complete genome.